rnacentral:rRNA from 1 species
GAUGAACGCUGGCGGCGUGCCUAAUACAUGCAAGUCGAGCGAACAGACGAGGAGCUUGCUCCUCUGACGUUAGCGGCGGACGGGUGAGUAACACGUGGAUAACCUACCUAUAAGACUGGGAUAACUUCGGGAAACCGGAGCUAAUACCGGAUAAUAUAUUGAACCGCAUGGUUCAAUAGUUAAAGACGGUUUUGCUGUCACUUAUAGAUGGAUCCGCGCCGCAUUAGCUAGUUGGUAAGGUAACGGCUUACCAAGGCAACGAUGCGUAGCCGACCUGAGAGGGUGAUCAGCCACACUGGAACUGAGACACGGUCCAGACUCCUACGGGAGGCAGCAGUGGGGAAUCUUCCGCAAUGGGCGCAAGCCUGACGGAGCAACGCCGCGUGAGUGAUGAAGGUCUUCGGAUCGUAAAACUCUGUUAUUAGGGAAGAACAAAUGUGUAAGUAACUAUGCACGUCUUGACGGUACCUAAUCAGAAAGCCACGGCUAACUACGUG